CUCACUCCUAGUGCUCUUAUAGAUUCAUAGAUUCAUAGAUGUUAGGGUCGGAAGGGACCUCAAUAGAUCAUCGAGUCCGACCCCCCUUUCUCUGUGCAAGGCUGCCGUUGCCUGACGGUUGUACCGUCACUUCUGGCCUCAUUGUGCAGUCCUUUGAGACUGCUCCGAUACGCCCCGGCAGUGCCAGCCCUCCAGGAAAUCAGCAUCCGUUCUCGCUCCUUAGCAAGAGCAUGCAGCGUAUUUCAUCUGUGCAGAGCUGUGCUACACAGCUCGGAUAAAAUCCCGGGUAGGGUGGAGUUUAGACCACCUCUCCUUAAAAGUAGCAAUGGCAUCAGGGCAAAAAGGUGCUCCACGAGGCCUUUACAUGGCAGAGUUUUUGAUGCACUGAUGAAAAGGGCCUGAUUGACAGCCCUGGAGAGAGACUUGGGCACCCCGCAAUGGUACAAACCUCCACCAACGCAGUUCAACCCCGGUGUUUGGUGGUGUGAGGGUUGUCCUCGCUCCUUAAGGAUGGAGGAUCACCAUGGAAAGGCCUUUUGGUCAUUGCUGGCUGCUGAGAUUCCCUGCGAGCGGGGCCAGCCUGCGGUGCGCGGGGCCCUGCUGCGUCUCUCCGAGGCCGCCUCGGUUCCUUGGCUUUUAUGGUAAGUUUUGGUUGCUGCACUUGACAAACCAAAUGUUUGGCUUUUCCUUCAGCCCCUGCUACACCGGGAGGGGCAAAGAGAGUCCCACCACUGAACGCUCGAACCGGGGCUCCGGCAGCAUCGCCUGGCUUGCCUCGGCAAGGGUUGAAGCUUUCGUACGGUGAGCGCAUGAAUUGUGCACGUGGCUGCAGGUGAAGCUCCCUGAGCUUCCCAAGAGGUGUGCAAGGCUUGGUCAGCCCGCCCGGGCUGCAGUCAUUGCAAUCUGUGAACCGGCUAGGAAAGGAAUUUGAUUUUCCAUGUAAACGGGUUAAAAAAAAAAACCCCAAAACAACAGGCUUGGUUUCAGGAAGAGAGAUCCUCGCCCUAUUGAAGUCAAUGGGUUGCAUUACAGACACGUUUUGCCGUUGACUUCAAGAAAGUCAUAAUGUGACCUGUCGUGCCUCAGUCUUCCCUUCUGUGAAAUGGGGUUAAUGCUGGCAUCCAUCACAAGGGCGCUAUGAAAAUGAUUUAAUUAAUGACCAUUAAUUGCUCAGGGGUUCUGGUGACGGAGCCAUGCAGCUACUUAGAUGGUGAGCUACAACCUGCUACCCGCUUCCCUCACCACAGACACAAUCUUUUUCCAUUUCAGAUGAAAUCCCUCAGUAUAUCUGCAGCUGGUAGCAUCGGUGGCAUCCCUUUCUUCCCCAGGGAGCACCCUGACUCCUGGUGGCCCCAGGCAAACUUGUAGUAUCAGGCCCCCUUCACCAAAAAUAAUGAUAAUAAUAAUCCAAAAAUGACCCCUUUCUGUCCGGUUCGCCCAUGCCUGUGUCUGGCCCCUGCUUCAUGUUUGCUGCAGUUGGUGGGAUUUUGUCGUGCCGCUCGCAUUGCUUAAAUGCAGAUUUCCUCUCUCCCUCCCACCCCUCCGAGUACAGCUCACAAGCCCGUUUCCUUCCCAGUAGCUGCGGGUGGGUCUGAUUGCACGUUUCUGGGGCUUUGCCUUGUGCGUAAAUGUUGCUGAAACAAUUACACUAAAAUCACACCACCUGCAAGCAGUUAGUUAGAAUAAUAAAUAAGUGAUAGAUUAUCAAAUAAAGUGCUCACUUCAGAUGAGGUCAUUAUGGCACCGUGUCGUGGGUCUCCGAGGGAUUGGAGCCUGCUUUCCUGCUGCCGAUCGGCUAAAUGGCUCUUGUAUCAGUCAAUGAAAAAGUUGUAGAGAUUAAAGAAUCAAUUAGGCAUUAGCUAAAGGGCAAAAGCAUAACCCAAACAUGCUGAUAAAAUCCAACAGGUCAUUAUGGAAUGGGUCCUAUUUCAUUUUACUUUGAAAAGGAAUAAUUGCUCAUUAUAAAGCAUGAAGUGACCUGGACUUGAUACUUUGCCCAUUUUGUGGAGAGCUGGGUCUAAAUGUUAGCACUCUGCUGGUGGAAAUAGAUAGAUCCUGUGUGUUUUAGGGCUUGGUUUUCAUUGUUAUUUGGGUCCGUUUUUCUCUCUUUACCCAGUCUUGACUUCCUGCGUAAAGAAAGACAGCAGAAUCUGAUUCAUAAAAGGCCGGUGCAUUUAACUAUUUGUCGUGGCAUCACUCAGUGACCCACGCAGUGCCCGGCAUGCCCCGUUGUAUAGGUGCUGUACAUACUCGUAGGAAGAUGUGGUUACCACCCAGAGAAGGAAGGAAAGUGUAAGAAGUAAUAGGAGGAAGAGAAAGGCAAGCACCCAUUGGGGUUAGGGACUGAACCCCAUUUUCCUUGUUCUGCUACAUCCUUCUGGGAUGACCUUGGUCAUGUCACUUAAGCUCCAGAUACUGGAAGGUAUCUCAGUACCUAACUGCUGAAUUGCUGAAACUUAAGCAGCUAGUUGCCUAUGAGGGUCUGGCCUUGGUCUCUCUGGGCUUCAAUUCCCCAUCUAGAGAACAAUGAUGCCACUUCUUUGUUGCCAGCGUUUGUCCAUCUGGUCUCUAUAGGCGAGUAGCUCUCCAACGCAGGGACUGAGUCUCGCAAGGUCUCUAAACAGAAGAGAGUCCCCAGUAGAGGGCAUGUAGUGGAAAUAAUGAAGUAUAACGUGCUAAUUGCUAUGUGGGUUUGCAAAAUGAUUACAAAGCCCAUUCACAGGAGCACGAGACUGGAAGGGGUUUCAGAGCUUCAAGUCUAGUCCUCGGUGCUGGAAAUCAACUGCUGGGUCGAAGGAUCUCCAGGCUUGUCUGCUCUGACCCCCCGUCUCACCCCACAACCACGGAAACCCCUGGGUGUGCUACAGGCAAGAAGCAGUGGAGGAAGGGAUGGCGACCCUGCGUGAUGGGCAUCUCGUGUCCAUGAUGAUGACUGGAAGGAACAAUAUUCCAGCUAGUUUCUCUAUCCAGAUGCAAGGAGCAAGGCUACUUCUUAUCUACCCAUGUCUUACACUGCUCUAAAUCAGCCUCCCGGAGAUGACUGGAGUUAAAGAGGAAAGUUGAGAAGAGGAUCAUAGAAAAUUUGGGUGAACGUGUCAUUCAGGGUCUUGAUCGUCUACCCCCGUCAUCCUGAACCUGCUCGACUCCAGACACGUCAGGGGGUCACAUCUAAUGCAACCCCCCUGCUCCAAGCAGGACCGGCCCCAACUACAUCAUCCCAGCCAAGGCUUUGUCUAUGUAUAAUGCAGAUAAAGAAUAUGUUAUGGCUGCUGUUGGUUUAAGCGUUAAUAUUAAUCACUUCAGUGCUGCAAUAUUUAACCCGGCGCUUGAGCUGCAUGGUGUGGGGUUGCCCUUGGGCAGAACAGGAGCCCGGCUUUGUUUGGGGCACUUUUCUAGCAAAACGACAAAACUUCAUGCUGUAACAUUCAGCAAAAUGGUUUGCAACUGGGGAAAACGUUUGAGGUUUGGGCUCAUUUGGAGUCUGGCACGCAGACCCGCUGGGGAGAGGCAACCGCUGCUUUUUCCUGUGGGCUGGAGACGAGGAACCAGCCUGUGAGAGCCGCCGUCUGCCCUGUUUAUGAAGCAUCGCUGCUGCUUUAAUUCUCCCAGCUAGGUACCGAAGUCUGUGCUUCUUCCAGCCAAGGCAUUCCCAGCUGCCUUGCUCGGGCUGCGCUGGCUGAUGUGAAUGCUUAUAUAUCCUUCACAAAGCAUUAUUUUUAUGGUGUGCGUAUAAAGAGCACGCGGGGUGUGCACAACGGCUCGCAGAACGUACAUCACUCUUGCACUGGAAGCAGCUUUCAGCCGGUGCAGCGAGGCUGGGGAACGAGCUGUUUAUUGCUCCGUGCCCUCGGUGUGAUGGCCCUGUACAUGCAUGUGUGGGUGGGGAGGCCUGAGAAUUCAUGUUCUUAUUUUUUUCCCACUCCUUGCAGGUCAUAUACCACCGGAUCGGGCUGCCGCUGUGGUUGCCAUCGCUGUUCUUUAUGCUGCUUCGAGAAACACGUUCAGAAAGUUUCCUUUUGCUGGCUCAAGGAGUCAGAACUCAUGGCAAAGGGAGACUGGCUCGGGGAGCCACUUGAAGGAGGGGAUGAAAGACGAGUCCAAGCCACCGCACACUCCUCCUUCGAGAGGUGAAGCCACGCGAGGGGUUCAGACCGGUCUUCCCUUCGUCUCCGGAGGACCAGCUGCUUUCCAGUCCAGCAAAGACAAACAGGUCAAGACCGGACGAGAGAACUAAGGUCGCCUUUCAGACAGCCAGGUGGGCGACUGGUCCCGGUUCGGGUCUGGAGUCGAGAAUAAACGGGCCCGGAGAUACCCAGCUGGCUCUUUCCCAAGCGUGCGAGGGAAGGAAAUGGAGGGAGAUGCGGGUUUUAUGGAUAGAGAAAACAAACGAGAUGCUUUGGCAAAAACAAUGCAUUUCCGAGCUGAUUUUCUUUCUAUGGGAUGCUCUGUCUUUCCUGUUUACUUGUUAUUUUGGAAAUAGAACAAUAAAUAAUUUACUGCUGAUUGGUUGGCAAGGG